rnacentral:rRNA from 1 species
GACGAACGCUGGCGGCGUGCUUAACACAUGCAAGUCGAACGGAAAGGCCCUGCUCUUGUGGGUUGCUCGAGUGGCGAACGGGUGUGUAACACGUGAGUAACCUGCCCUUGUCUUUGGGAUAACUUCAGGGAACUGGGGCGCAUACCGGAUAGGAGCUCCUGAUGCAUGGUGGGGGUUGGUAAAUUUCGGCGGUGGGGGAUCGACUCGCGGGUUAUCAGCUGGUUGGUGGGGUAGUGGCUUACCAAGGCUUUGAAGGGUAGCCGGCAUGAGAGGGUGGCCGGGGACAUUGGGACUGCGAUACGGACCAGACUCCUACGGGAGGCAGCAGGGGGGAAUAUUGCACAGUGGGCGGAAGCGUGAUGCAGCAACGCCGCGUGCGGGAUGACGGCCUACGGGGUGUAAACCGCUUUCGACUGUGACGAAGCGUGAGUGACGGUAAUGGGUAAAGAAGCACCGGCUAACUACGUG